rnacentral:rRNA from 1 species
GUGCCAGCAGCCGCGGUAAAACGUAGGACGCAAGCGUUAUCCGGAAUUACUGGGCGUAAAGCGCGUGUAGGCGGUUAUCCAAGUCACUGUUGAAAGCUCCCGGCUAAACUGGGAGAGGUGCGGUGAGACUGGAUGACUGGAGUAAGGAAGAGGGGUGCAGAAUUCCGGGUGUAGUGGUGAAAUGCGUAGAGAUCCGGAGGAAUACCAGAGGCGAAGGCGGCACCCUGGUCCAUUACUGACGCUGAGACGCGAAAGCAUGGGGAGCGAACGGGAUUAGAAACCCGCGUAGUCC